rnacentral:rRNA from 1 species
UACGUAGGGUGCGAGCGUUGUCCGGAAUCAUUGGGCGUAAAGGGCUCGUAGGCGGUCCAUCGCGUCGGGAGUGAAACGCUGGGGCUUAACCCCAGUCCUGCUUUCGAUACGGGUGGACUAGAGGUAGGCAGGGGAGAAUGGAAUUCCUGGUGUAGCGGUGGAAUGCGCAGAUAUCAGGAGGAACACCGGUGGCGAAGGCGGUUCUCUGGGCCUAAUCUGACGCUGAGGAGCGAAAGCGUGGGUAGCAAACAGG